GAUGAAGAACGCAGCGAAAUGCGAUACGUAAUGUGAAUUGCAGAAUUCAGUGAAUCAUCGAGUCUUUGAACGCACAUUGCGCCCCCUGGUAUUCCGGGGGGCAUGCCUGUCCGAGCGUCAUUGCUGCCCUCAAGCACGGCUUGUGUGUUGGGCCUCCGUCCUCCUCCCGGGGGACGGGCCCGAAAGGCAGCGGCGGCACCGCGUCCGGUCCUCGAGCGUAUGGGGCUUCGUCACCCGCUCUUGUAGGCCCGGCCGGCGCUUGCCGAUCAACCAAACUUUUUUCCAGGUUGACCUCGGAUCAGGUAGGGAUACCCGCUGAACUUAAGCAUAUCAAUAAGCGGAGGA
rnacentral:misc_RNA from 1 species